AUCUGGAAAUUUAUGGGGAAUGAAACCAGAGCUAUUGAAUUUCAGUGUAUUUUACAUAUCUGUCAGCAUCAGCUUCUGCUCUUUCCUACAGGCUUACAUGGUGCUGUGUCUCCACGGGCAGCUUGCAACAAGAAACUCACCAUACCUGAAACCCUCUUGAUAAGGAAAGACAAAUGCUAAUGGGGUUGGUUCUUUUCCUCUUUUCUGCUUAUUCUCUGCUUUUUGGAGUUCUCUGCUAUCCUCAUUUUUAGGCAAACAUGCCUUACCCUAUUUCUGUCACUCACAUUUCCUUCCCUCUGUGCUGCUCACCUCCUUGUGAAGCCUUAAAUAUCUCUUUGUUGCAUCUCACUGUUCAUUAGGAUAUUUAGGCAUCUUCCAGCUGCUCCAUCUGGGGUUUUUAAUUGGAACAAGGAUGCCUGAGGGUGAAAAGAGGAAAAGAGAAGAUGAGGGAGCAAGUAAGGUGUGGGUAGGGCAGAAUACAGAUUUUUCACAGCUGGGAGGGGAAGGAGCUCCCCUGCAAGCAAGCAAGAGGAGGGGAAAGAGAUAGGAGGGAGCCAGGUGAAGAGAGUUUUGGAAACUCUGAUUAGUUAAUGUUUGUAAAGUGCUGUUCGGGUGGCAAAGUCAGCUGUGUGUGCUAAUCUACUAAUCUGUGUUUUGUGGAGUGUCCUGGUUCAUGAAUCUUGGCUGAUUAAUCACAGCUGACUUGUCAAUAGCAAGGGCUGAUGGUAGUGUAAUAUAAAAAUUAGGCAGCAAGGGAGGUUAGGUUUUUCCUCUUUUCUGGAGCAGAAGGGGAUUUUACUUUGAGGAACUUUUAGAAGAUUCCCUCUUUGAGUGGAGAGAGCUCUUCCCCCAGCAGAAGGAUCCCCUGGCUGACCCUGGUGUGCCCCCUGCUCUGGUGCAGAGAAGGUAGCAAGAGAAGUUCCCAGAGAUGGUUUUAAUUCCAGUGUGUCCUGUGUUCCCCAAGCAGCUCGCUGUCCCCAUCCCAGGUUGGGGAAAAAUCCUUGAGCCGGAGCUCGGUGCUGCAUCCAGAGCCUCGCGACAGGAGCUGUGCCUCGAGUGGAGACUUCUGGAGCUGUGAGGAAAACAAGAUUAAAGAAGAAAUCUUUGGCAAUGGAGUGCUACAAUAACUGAACUGCUGACUUUUUUCAAUGGAUAUAUUAAGGCUAUUAAGCUGAGAAGGAUCAUAAUGGAAAGUGACACUGAAAAAUCACAGUGAGCCAUAGUAAGAUAUUGUCUGGUGUGCAGUGUAUCAAGCAGCCUGGAUAAUGGAUUGCCAUCCCAAAUCUCAAGCAAUUCAAGUGAUGGAUUUUCAUCCCAUGACAAGUCAGGACCAAUUGCUCUCGAGGUUGUGCAUUAAAGUCCUGAGAUGCCAUCAGUUUUGGGGAGAAAUCUCUAUCAAGGUCGUUCUGUUUGCUGCAUCAGUUGCUCACUUACAUCAGGGGGACCCCGCAGCGCACGGCGGUGCCUUGAGAUGCCAAUUACUCUGAUUUGGAAUUUUGUGUACAGUAAUUAAAGAGCCAGGUAGCAGCAGACAUGUGUUACCCCGAGAUAACACACUCCUUGGAAAGUUCAUGAGGCAGGAGGUGAAGUGAGUGCCUCCAGUGACCUGGGGAAGGCAUUUAUCUCAGCGCUGCACGAGCUGGGGGGGCACUGCCACUGUGCACCAGCUAUCAGCCCUAUCAGCUGCGCUGUGAUUGAUUGCAGCAUGUCAAACAGAUGUUUAAAACAUGUUCAGCCUUGUGCAUCAUGUGAUAAUUAUGUCUGGCUCUGAAGGAGCAAUGUAUCAGGUGUGAGGAGAUAGGAGCGUGAAGUGUUUGGGUUUGGUUUUUUUGUUUGCACUGGGAUACGCAUGACUGGCAAAAGUUAUCUUGAAAGGGACUUUGAGCUCCAGAGUGCCACAGCUUCAGCAAACCCAACAUCCAUAAUGCAGGAGAGUGCUCGCAUGGAACUGGCUCAAGUGGAGCUUUCAGAGCUGGUGUGUAUUAUUCCUUUUUUUUUCACAAAUGUGGGUGUGCACAAGCAUGUGUUUGCACACACAGAGCGAUCUCCACGGUGUUUAUUUUAAAUCCAUUAUUAUUUUUACCCCCUGCCCAGUGCUGUGAAUUAUUUCAUUCUUCAGGUGACUGACAGGCAAUGUUUUUCCAGCAGCACAGAGCAGCCUGGCACUGUCCCUGGGACGAGGGCUGGCUGCUCAGCACAGCCCUGGCAGACAAAGGGCUUUGUGCUGCCUGCUCUGCCCACAUCACACCCAGGAGAAAGGUCUAUCUUUAAUCUGGGCUGCUCGGGAAAUCAAAGGGGGGGGAUUAAAACAAGACCAGUGACUGAUUUCCGUAGGAGAUCGCUUUCCUGUUUCAUUUGAUAGAAUGAACAGCAGAAUCAAAGCAAGGUUAGAAGCCCCAUGUACCUUUUUUUUUUUCCCAGCAAUUUUUGUGAUGUCAGUUCACAAGGUAUUAUAAUAAUGGAACACAUGUGCGAUAAUGAUUUUAGAAAUUUUCCUUCUUUUUUUACCUUAGAACAAUUUGCAUAUAGAUGCUCUGGCAAGGUGUGUGCCUUCUGAGUCAUCAGGCUUGUAGUUAAACAUGUUAAAGCUGAUUAAAUCUGCAGCUGUUUGUUUCUUUGCCUUCUUUUGAUCUCUGCUAAAAAUAGCCCCAGUGCCUUCAUAAGGACUAAAUUUCAAAGGUAUGGUGGGAUGUUGCUUCAGCCCUGGAUUUGAACAGCCAAUAAAGAACAGCAAAAAUCUGGUUUGUGCUCAGAGGAAAGAACAGUGAGAGGAAGGCAGGAGCUGUGGAAGAGUCCCCAAGCUUGGCUGGGCUCCCAAGUGCUUUAUCAAGGAGGGAAAUGUUGUGCCCUUUCUUGGCAAUGCCCCCCUACAAGUGAAAUGUACUUCUCUCAUGUGUUUUAGACAAACUGGUGAAUUUUUUUCCCCUUCUUUUUUUAUAUCUGUAAAAUGAGGUUAAGGUGGCAGUGCAAGAUCUUGGCUUAUUCUGUGCUGGCUUUCUUUGCACUUCAGUGGAAUCCACAUGGGAUGGUGAUACCCAGCUCUGCAUUGCUGCUAUUUCUCACUUUAAUGACCCUGGUAAAUCUUUAAUGAUUGCCAUCACUGUCAGAAGGGCACAAAGGGCCCUCAUCUGUCUUGAUGCAACCUAAGAAAAUAUGCUCACAGAUGUCAGUUAAAAUAAUGGCAUUGGUGGUAGGUCACUUGGAUUUUUAUGGGUACCCACCUCUUCUUGCAAAAAGCAGCACAGAAAUCCCACUCUUCAUCAUUAUAAUCACUUAAAAAACCUAAAUGUCCAUAUCCUAGGUUUUGGGGGUUUUUUAUUAACUAGGGCAGCACAUUCCAGACAAAAAGAAUUGAUUCAGGCACUUCACAGGAAUGGGCCUCCUCAUUUCUGUAUUCCAGAGCAGCUGAGACAUAAGAUCUUAUUUUAAAUUAGGCAUUUCCAAGUGUGAGAUUUUCACCCAAAAAUUUGCUUGAAAGUCCAUGUUAGAAGAAUCCAUUCAACAUCAGAACAAAGCUUUUUCCACCACUCAAGCAUUGUUUCAUCAUGAGUGAUUUCCCUGUCAUAGCAUAGCCUUUAAGACAUAAUUCUCUCAAAUUAUGGGGUGUGCUAGCAGCCCUCAGAGUCAGAAACUGGAUAUACACAUCUCCUGCUCUCAUUAAUAGCACUUGCCUGCCUAAUUCACUGAGCAGCACAGAGAAGAUGGAGCCCUGUGGGUCAACAGCAAUGGAUUCAAUGAGGUCUUCACCUUCUAAAAAUGUCAUUAGUGGGAGUAAGAGCUGGCUGUGGGCCCUGGUGUUUGCUACAGCCCUCUGGAGAGCAUAAAUCUGACACAGAGGUGCUCAGGCUUGCCUGGGGAAGCUCCCACCCAUUGUUCCAUUGGCCGCCACUCUCGUUCACUCUAUUUCUACUGUGUCACCAGCUCAUCUGAGUGUAGGGACAGACACUGAGGCCUUGCCUCCUGUCUGCACCAUUCCCAGAAUUAAAUGUUCAUGCUAAGCUAACUCACAUCUUUAAAUGAGUUCAGUUCCCACCAAAAUUUGUCCCCAUAUAGUUUUUCAUGCCUGGUUCAGUUGCAAGGCUCACACUGGGUUUGCACGUUGAUCUGGACAAGGAGAAGGUUUUUCUGGUCAUCUCUAAAGCAGGGACUUGGUGGCACUUCUGCUUAGUGGUGAUGGAGUGUGGGAUCAGAUUAAUCUGUCUCCUGGAGCUGGGUGUUUUUGUUUUCCGUAUUAUAAUGUACUCAACUACAUAUUAAAUCUAAUUUUUUUCUUGCUUUCCACAGUAAUGUCAAGGCACUCUAUCUCCGAACCUGAUCAGUAAAAUGGGGGUGUAUUUAAGAACCCUCCUUCUUGGGCUGUUGUUCAAAACAGAAAAAAACUUGAGAACUUUUCUGCUGUGUGUGGUAAUUAAUAUUUGAAUCCAUUUAAUAUCCAGAGCCUGACAUUAGGAAAGUGUGGAUGACCUAGAAAACCACAAUGUAAUCUUAUUUAAAAAACCCAAAGAAGUAUUCAAGCUCUAAUAAAUCAUUAUUUUAUUCAUAAACCAUAUAUUCAUAGCAGAUUUUAUUACACUUCUAUGCUCACCUAACUUUGUAGUCUCUUUUGAUUUUCUUUUUGUCUGUAGUUAUUUUCCACUUCUAAGACAUUUGAUCUGUGUUUUCCUUUAGACCUCUGCCUCUUUGUAUAGAUUACUAGAAAGGAGCUCAAUUACAAUUUUGUCUCUGAUGUGGAUAUUUCUUUAUUGAAGGUUGUACAAAGGCAUCCUUUCUCAAGCUCCAUUUCAAACAGGGCUUCAAAUAUAAACCAUAAAAAAUAAAAAUAAAUAAAUAGCUAAUCUGAGCAGGCCAAGACAUGUUUAAUUUCAGCUUUCAUGGCUGUGUGCUUGGUACAAUGUCAGCAGCAAGUGUUCACAAUCUUCUGUGCUACACAAUUUGAGCAGUCUCAGGACUUCCAAUAUUCUAUUAGAGGAUUUUAUGUUCAGCUCCUCGAAAAAAAUAGAUUCUUGAAGAAUGUAUCAUAGUAGUUCAGCUGUAAUUUGAGGAUGCAGAAUUCCUCUGCUAAAUAUGCAUUUUUUCUCCCUUGGAUAUGGGAUUUCCUGUUGGCAUUUUGUGUUUUGCUCCUGCAAAUAAACACAGCACAGAACUUUACAGUCUGUGAUGAGGCAAUGUGAGAGUGUUCUUCUGGGAAUGCAUUUUUUACAUGUGUUAAUAUAAACGAUGCAAUAGUUCCACAGUUAAAAUUUUCACUUAAAUGUAUUUUAACCCACUUUGGCAGAUAUGGAUUUAUAGAAAGACUGUUCACCCUACACUUACAGCACUUACUGUGAUUGCUGGGUUAGUUCUGUGAGAAUUUAUGAGCAAUGAUAUUAAUUAGCUGAGUUAUACAUUUUAUUAGAUACAAUUUUCCAGCCAUAUAAUUCUUGGAAUCUGAAAGACAAAAAUUGACCUACUUGGGGUUUAUUCCACAGUCAAGGCUAGAGAUUUUGAGUCUUUCUCUGUAGGCAUAUUUUAGGUAAUGAUGUAAUAGUUUUUAUCAAUUUCCAUGUCGUGUUGUAAUGUUUUCUUGAUGCUAUUUUGUCUUCAAACAUCUUUGAGAUGAAAAUUCAAUUGAUGUAGUGCUGCUUGUUUAGAAAGAGAGGGAUGCACAGCUGAGUUUUCCCCAAUGACUGGUAUAUGAAGACUAGAUAGAAUAUUUUCAGUUAAAGAAGGCUUGAGUUUCAAGUUGUUAAACAUAAAACUCUUUUAAGGUAUUUGAACGUUGGUGACUUCAUGUUAAGGAGAUAUUUCAGAGACAGAUGGUAUUUGUGUUUGAAGUUAUGUCCUGACUGCUCUGCAGGAUACAGGACUCUUCUCUAUAGACUUCUAACCUCAAAGGAACAAUCUUGCUGCUAAUAUUUCCUUACUGAGAUGGAUGGAGAGCAAAACAAAAAACGUUGUGUCAUCCUAACCUCUGAGUAGAAAGGGAUGAUGGAACCUGAGCUGCACUUGCACUUGAUGGGAACAGGAUUUGGCACACUUGGCAGGAAAUGUCACCAUUUUUCAAAGUAUCGAAUCCAGAUCUGGCUGGCAAAGUGAACAUGCUCAAUGGCUGUUGGGCGUGGGGGAGAGGAUGCUUCAAGAGAACACAGACUGAAGAGGAGCCAUAUGUCAUUUGUCAGCUGUGGGCUGAAGGUGAAAUCCCCCACCCUGAGACCUCCAUGGGGCUCAGGAAAAGACCCAGACACUGCAGCCACCUCCCCAGCUGCCACCUCAAGCCCAUGAUUCUUCUGAUGUUCUGGACCUCUGCUUGCAUCCUACUGGGGGAGCUGAAGUGCCCUGCAUUAGGACAUGGUGAAAUCCAAGCUCUGUCAGCUGCUCAGGUGACUGAAUCCUACAGACUCUCCCCAGGAAACACAACUGGAUGUGAUUCAUUGUGGCUCCUGGGAAGGAGGGACAGAAAUGACCACCUGCAAUUCCUUGGGAUUCUAAUUCAGCACCACCUCAGGUUCUUUUGCCAGCAAAAAUACUGAGUUCAGCUGCAGCUGCAUCAAUUAGCUCCUCAAGCCUGCAAGUAGUGACACCAGUGACACUUUUUUGGGGUGCAUGUUGGACCUACUGGACAAGACAGACGCUGAGGUGGUGGAAGGAUUCUUGUGAGGAGCUGCUGAGUUUGUUGGGGUUGUUUAACCUGAAGAAAAGGAGGUUCAAGGAAGACUUUGUCACCCUCUCCUUUGAGAGUGAGGUGGGGAUCAGAUUCUUCUCUCAGGUAACAAGUGUCAGGACGAGAGGAAACAUCCUCAAGCUGCACUAAUGGAGGUCUCUGCCAUGGAUGACUUCUGCCUCUUCUUCCAGCAGGUCAUGGAUGUGGCAGCUGCUGAGCCUUUGCAUGAGUGGGAAGGGUGAGCAGCUCUGUGGAGGGACUGUGCUGACAGAAAACACAUUUAAUCAGGAUGGAUCCCUUCUCACAAUGUCCUUUCCCUCAUGAAACUCGACAGAAAAGCACAACAGAGGCAGCUGGGUUUGCUGCUAAUCUCUUGCCUUUCACCUGGGUUUGUUUCCCCUGCCUUAAUGUCUCCUGUCAGCUUUUGCUGUGUCCAUCCUUCCUUUUUUUGCUGAGCCUCUACUGUCAGGCAGAAGAGGGGAUCUAAUUUAGGGUUCAGCCAUCAACAGAAUAUAAAUUUGGCAGCAUGUCAUGAGCAUACUUCAAUAUGCUGUGUAAUUUAUAAGGCAAUGCAUCCAUUUUUAAGGCCAGCCCUGAAUCCCAGUAUAUCAAAAAGCAGAAGAAUAGAUUGCUGCUGCCACUUAUAAUAAUGUGUCCAGAAAUACAUUGUGUGAGAGGCCUUGUAUCCAUCAAUGAAAGUGUUUUAAUUCUCCUUUUAGUGGCUAUGUACCAUGUAUUUAGUAGAAGUUAUGGCUAGGAUGACUUCAUUGAUAAAGCCCUAUUUCAUGUAGCACAAAAGCAGAACAAAAGAUUUAAUAAUCUCUGGUGUAUCAUGUGGAUUCCCAUUGUGUGGCAUUGACUUCAGGGGACUGAAAUUUCUCUAAUUAGGGUUUUUUCUCUGUCCUGAGUUCCUGGAAAAAUCAGAAUUCAAAACUCAAGGAUACAGCUUGACAUGGGUUGAACACGUUUGAUAAAAUGGAAGGGAUAGAGAAGUUCUGGAGACAGCUUUAAAAUGCACCCACUGCUUUCGCUGAUAUUUUAUAGGGGAGAUUCUUCCCUCUGGGCAAAGCAAAGAGGGAGGUGGUCAGGGAUUUUCUCUCUGGCCAUGGGGAGGGGAUGGAAGGUGACCUUUGCAUUUCCAUUCCUUUUCUGUUCUAGUCUGGUGGCAAGCAC